UGCCAGCCGCCGCGGUAAUAUGGAGGGUGCAAGCGUUAUCCGGAUUUACUGGGUUUAAGGGUGCGCAGGCGGUACUUUAAGUCAGUGGUGAAAGCUUUCAGCUUAACUGGAAAAUUGCCAUUGAUACUGAAGUACUUGAGUAUGGUAGAGGUAGGCGGAAUACAACAUGUAGCGGUGAAAUGCAUAGAUAUGUUGUAGAACACCAAUUGCGAAGGCAGCUUACUAAACCAUUACUGACGCUCAGGCACGAAAGCGUGGGGAGCGAACAGGAUUAGAUA
rnacentral:rRNA from 1 species